AGAUGUAGAACAAACAUUAGCAAAACCCCACUCACUUUAUCCCCCAUUGAUCUGAUUAUUAUUAUCAUUUUUCUUAUACCAUGGUGGAUAUCCAUGUUUGGAGUAGCAUUCAUCAACAAUAUGGUUCAUUUUACUACAAUAAGAGCAAUGUGUCCCAUAAUUUUGGUUCCUUCCUUUCCCUCUUCCUUGACCGCGAGGUACAGAUCCACGUCCACGGCCUCUCCAAUUUUUUUCACUCCUCCACUGACCCU
rnacentral:lncRNA from 1 species